GCCCCGGAUGCAGGAGAGAGGCGCCGCGCUGGCGCCCGCCGAAGGCGCAGGCUCCCAUAAUCGCUCAGGCCGGUGGCUCGAUA
rnacentral:ncRNA from 2 species